rnacentral:rRNA from 1 species
UACGAAGGGUGCAAGCGUUACUCGGAAUUACUGGGCGUAAAGGGCGCGUAGGCGGUCGUGACAAGUCACUUGUGAAAUCUCCGGGCUUAACUCGGAACGGUCAAGUGAUACUGUCGGACUAGAGUACAGAAGGGGCAACUGGAAUUCUCGGUGUAGCGGUGAAAUGCGUAGAUAUCGAGAGGAACACCUGCGGCGAAGGCGGGUUGCUGGGCUGAUACUGACGCUGAGGCGCGAAAGCCAGGGGAGCGAACGGG